GCCCUGGUAGCUCAAUUGGUUAGAGCGUCGGACUUUUAUCUGCCUUGCGGCAGGAGCGAUCCGAAGGCUGCGGGUUCGACCCCCGCCUGGGGCG
rnacentral:tRNA from 1 species